rnacentral:lncRNA from 1 species
CAUGUUUUACUUUACCUACUUGAAUUAUAAUUGUCCAUAGUCCGGCUUCCGGCAAAAUUGUAUGGUCAAUUGCCUUAUAGAAUAUGCGAUUUCUACUUGGGAGCAUUUUUUUUUAAUUUCAUUUUAACGAACUUAUUAAAAAAUGAUAUAUGACACUUUUAUAUUUAACUUAAGCGAAAUUAAGAUAAAUUAUGAUAAUAAUCUUUGUUGUAAUUUGUUUAUCCCAGGUCAUGAUAAAGUACAGAUAAAAGUACAUAAAAUAUGUCCAGAUGCAGAUUUAGGGGGGCAGGGAGCCGGGCCCCCCUUUUGAGAAACAAAAUUGGUUGAUUAUAUAGGGAAUCACUGAAGCGUGACGGGAGUUGGGCCCUCUUAUGCAGCCAGAGGGCCCCAACUUAUGAAAUUUUUUUAGAUCCGCCACAGUGAUGUCUUGCUUUAUCAUGAUCAAUAUAUUAUCUAUAAUUGCUCAAUAAUAUUUGUCUUUAAUUGUAUUGCAUAAAAAUAAAAUGUUUAAACAUCUGUAUAAGU